AGAGUUUGAUCCUGGCUCAGGAUGAACGCUAGCUGGAGGCUUAAUACAUGCAAGUCGAGCGGGAUUGGUAGCAAUACCAUGAGAGCGGCGCACGGGUGAGUAACGCGUACACGACCUACCUCUGACAGGGGGAUAGCCCUGGGAAACUGGGAUUAAUACCGCAUAUUAUUCUGAUUAAUAAAGGAUUGGAAUGAAAGCUGAGGCGGUCAGAGAUGGGUGUGCGUCUGAUUAGCUAGUUGGUAGGGUAACGGCCUACCAAGGCGAUGAUCAGUAGGGGGCGUGAGAGCGUGGUCCCCCACACGGGUACUGAGACACGGACCCGACUCCUACGGGAGGCAGCAGUAAGGAAUAUUGGUCAAUGGGCGAAAGCCUGAACCAGCCAUCCAGCGUGCAGGAAGAAGGCCCUAUGGGUUGUAAACUGCUUUUAUCAGGGAAGAAACCUCUGGAUUCACUCCGGAGCUGACGGUACCUGAAGAAUAAGCACCGGCUAACUCCGUGCCAGCAGCCGCGGUAAU
rnacentral:rRNA from 1 species